GACGAACCGUGCAAACGUUAUUCGGGAUCACUGGGCUUAAAGGGCGCGUAGGCGGGCCGCCAGGUCCGGGGUGAAAGCCUCCAGCUCAACUGGAGAAGUGCCUUGGAUACCGGCGGCCUCGAGGGAGGUAGGGGCGUGCGGAACUUCGGGUGGAGCGGUGAAAUGCGUAGAUAUCCGAAGGAACACCGGUGGCGAAAGCGGCGCGCUGGAUCUCUUCUGACGCUGAGGCGCGAAAGCCAGGGGAGCAAACGGG
rnacentral:rRNA from 1 species